rnacentral:lncRNA from 1 species
GUGAUCACCCGUGUCAGGACAAGGAAUGGCAUCUCCCUAACAGGACUCAAGAGCCUUUGCCAUUAUCUGUGGUAUUAAGCAGGUUUCAAUUAGGAUUUUAGGUGGAUUUUUUUCUUUGUUCCGCAGAAGUUUUAAUCAAGGCAGAAAAACUCUGACGCCUCAUUCUCCUCACAACAGUCAGUCACCAAAGCGUUGCAUUUUUCUUCCUGAAGCUUCCCCUCCCUCGGGCACAUUUUUAGCAAAAAAGAUGAGAUCCCAAGCUCUCCAGAUGUUGCCUCUCAGAUGUGCCUCAGCACGCAUCUCAGAGCCAUCUGGCCGCAGCAACAGCUGGACUGCUUCCAAGUGGAAGUGCUCACAGAUCUAGCUGUCCUGGGCUGCCUUUCUCCACGGUAGCAGGCAGAGGGAGCCAAGCAGAGAUGGGAGCUCUAGGAGAUUUUCCCACUGAUGCCCCUAGGCACCCCAGUCCUGGGCAGCCUCUUCUCAGACUGCCAAGGAGCCACCAUUGCAACUGAUGGCCUCGUCCUGUGAGAACAACCAUGCGUCAGGCACUGGCUAUACGGACUGAGAAGCUGAAAACUGAUCAGAGUCAAGCUGAGCCUAUUGACCGCUUUCCAUGUCCACAGAGAUAAACACGAACAAACCUAAGAUAAAACCCCACUGAGUGCACUUCCCUGGGACCAUUUCGAGAGCUUCCGACCUCUGGGAACACAUAUGUGAGCCAGCAGGAUGGCCACAUCACCCACAGGGCAGUGUAGAGGUGGAUGCCAAACGCAGAGAAACUGAGUCAUAAAUGCCUGUAACUCUUCCUGUGGGUGUGAGGAUCCUAUCUCUCAACCCAGCUUGAAUGGGAUUUGUUUCUGCAACUGGAAUAAUCUUAAAUUAUCCAUUCUGACACCAGAGACUCAGCACUUUCAGCUGGUUCUGUCUCAUAUCAGCCAAAGGACAAAGAAAAACCCAAAGUGGUAAAAUAAAUUAUGCCCAGGUGAA